rnacentral:rRNA from 1 species
AGAGUUUGAUCAUGGCUCAGAUUGAACGCUGGCGGCAGGCCUAACACAUGCAAGUCGAGCGGUAGAGAGAAGCUUGCUUCUCUUGAGAGCGGCGGACGGGUGAGUAAUGCCUAGGAAUCUGCCUGGUAGUGGGGGAUAACGUUCGGAAACGGACGCUAAUACCGCAUACGUCCUACGGGAGAAAGCAGGGGACCUUCGGGCCUUGCGCUAUCAGAUGAGCCUAGGUCGGAUUAGCUAGUUGGUGGGGUAAUGGCUCACCAAGGCGACGAUCCGUAACUGGUCUGAGAGGAUGAUCAGUCACACUGGAACUGAGACACGGUCCAGACUCCUACGGGAGGCAGCAGUGGGGAAUAUUGGACAAUGGGCGAAAGCCUGAUCCAGCCAUGCCGCGUGUGUGAAGAAGGUCUUCGGAUUGUAAAGCACUUUAAGUUGGGAGGAAGGGCAGUAAAUUAAUACUUUGCUGUUUUGACGUUACCGACAGAAUAAGCACCGGCUAACUCUGUGCCAGCAGCCGCGGUAAUACAGAGGGUGCAAGCGUUAAUCGGAAUUACUGGGCGUAAAGCGCGCGUAGGUGGUUAGUUAAGUUGGAUGUGAAAUCCCCGGGCUCAACCUGGGAACUGCAUUCAAAACUGACUGACUAGAGUAUGGUAGAGGGUGGGUGGAAUUUCCUGUGUAGCGGUGAAAUGCGUAGAUAUAGGAAGGAACACCAGUGGCGAAGGCGACCACCUGGACUGAUACUGACACUGAGGUGCGAAAGCGUGGGGAGCAAACAGGAUUAGAUACCCUGGUAGUCCACGCCGUAAACGAUGUCAACUAGCCGUUGGGAGCCUUGAGCUCUUAGUGGCGCAGCUAACGCAUUAAGUUGACCGCCUGGGGAGUACGGCCGCAAGGUUAAAACUCAAAUGAAUUGACGG